rnacentral:lncRNA from 1 species
CUUCACCUUUAAAAGUCACAACCUGAACGAUCUUAGAGUCUAAAAUCUCACAAUUAAGGUGUGUUGAUUACUAGGGUAACUUGACAUUUGCAGUGACAUAUUAAACCUCUUGGAGGUGUAUUAAUAUUUUGAUUGCACUGAAUAUUCUCUAAUGAUUCAUUGCAGUGGUGCCCUUCCCUGGAAACGAAACCUACGUUUCUUCAUCCGCACGUAUAAACUACGUUUGGCGAUGUUGUCAUAGAGAUUAACAAGAGCUACGGUUUGAUAAAACGACUUCGUAAGCAAAGAUAAAGAGCUGUUCCCUUCACUUGGGGAAGAUUCGCGAUGAAAGUGGCCAUUCAUGGGCCUGGAGCAGACAUCAGCCAUCUCCUUCUCAGUGUGGCUGCGAGUCCCCCUCAAGGAGGAAUACUAACAAACAGCAUCCUGAUUAACUGCAAAGUGGAAGACACUGCCAUUACAAGGAAGGAACAAAACAUAAAUGGCUACUCAUUAUGCCUGUGUAACAUGGAUCUACAAGUACCCACUAAUAGAAAAGAACAUGAAACAGCAGGAAUAGAGGCCGGAAACUGCAGACAAAAAUUAUCACAAUGAGGUAAGUGGUUGUAAAUUUAGUUUGCAGAAGUCAAUAAUGUGUCUAUAACCACCUGGGAAAGACAUGUUUUCUAACAGCCAUAAAUGUGCAAGUCUAAAAGGAACUUAUCAAAAAAUGAC